UACGGGGGGAGCAAGCGUUGUUCGGAUUUACUGGGCGUAAAGGGCGCGUAGGCGGUCAGCACAAGUCAGUUGUGAAAUCUCCGGGCUUAACCUGGAAAGGUCAACUGAUACUGUGCGACUAGAGUGCGGAAGGGGCAACUGGAAUUCUCGGUGUAGCGGUGAAAUGCGUAGAUAUCGAGAGGAACACCUGCGGCGAAGGCGGGUUGCUGGGCCGACACUGACGCUGAUGCGCGAAAGCCAGGGGAGCGAACGGG
rnacentral:rRNA from 1 species